rnacentral:snRNA from 1 species
AUACCUUUCUCAGCCUCUUGGCUUAGAUCGUGUGUAGUAUCUGUUCUUAUCAGUUAGUAGCUGAUAUUGGGACCAUGUGUUCCAACGCUAUUAUCUAAUUUUUUGUGGGACGGGGGCUACCGGUAGCUUGCUACCCGGCCUUCCGCGUGUCGGGUUGGCCUUACACUAGUGCCUUCCCCGGCACAACCCAG